GUCCGCCCCCCCGCCCGGCGUUGCUGGGGUAACGGCGAGCGCGUGGGGCAGAGGAAGUCUUUAAAGAACAGUUACCUUGGAAAAUGGCAGAGGCAGUUUUCCGUCCCCCAAAGAGGAAAAGAAGAGUGUAUGAGAGCUAUGAGUCUCCCCUGCCGAUCCCUUUCGGUCAGGAGUGUGGUCCUAAGAAGGACUGUAGAAUAUUCCGGGCCGAGAUGAUAAACAGCAAUGUGAUUGUGAGGAACGCGGAAGAUAUGGAGCAGCUCUAUGGGAAGGGUUAUUUUGGAAAAGGUAUCCUGUCCAGAAGCCGUCCGAACUUCACAAUUUCAGAUCCUAAGCUGGUUGCCAAAUGGAAAGAUGUGAAGACAGACAUGCCUGUAAUCACGUCAAAAAAGUAUCAGCGUAGCGUGGAAUGGGCCACAAACCUCAUGCGAAGACGAGGCCAGGAUGAGAGCACAGCGCGUAGACUCCUUGAGGAUUACACGAAGCCCCUUCAGCAUCUUUGUCUGCAAAGGAAUGAAGAGGGCCAGUUGUGUAACGAGCUGAACUAUGAAAUGGUUUCCAAAACGGAAGGGACAGAAGAUAGAGAGAAACUUUCUGCCACGAAUGGGGUUGCAGGAAAGUCGCGUGAUCUGGAGGAUCCCAGCAAGCGAUCAGACCGCCUGCAGGAGGGCUCCGGGCCUGACCCGAUACCUACCCACGGCUCCGAUGAACACGUGGCAGAGGUCACCGCUCCUCUGCCCCUCGUCCACUGCGGCAAACAAGAUGCUCUCCUCCCGCCCUCUGGCGCUCAGCCUGGGGACAGCAGCCAACGAGCGGGUCUGGUCCCGGCCAGGGAGAGAGGGCCUGAGCACCACUACGUGCUGGUGGAGGAAGUCGUGUGUGACGCGAGUGAGAGGGAAGAUGCCCCAGGUGGGGACUUGUCGCCAAAAAAGAGACUGAUAUGCAGAAGAAAUCCAUUUAGGAUCUUUGAGUACUUGCAGCUCAGCCUGGAAGAGGCCUUCUUCCUGGUCUAUGCUCUGGGAUGUCUAAGUAUUUACUAUGAGAAGGAGCCUUUGACGAUUGUGAAGCUCUGGAACACCUUCCGCGUAGUUCAGCCCACGUUCGGGACUACGUACAUGGCGUACCAUCACUUCCGAAGCAAGGGCUGGGUGCCCAAAGCGGGACUUAAGUACGGAACAGACCUGCUGUUGUACCGAAAAGGCCCUCCAUUUUACCACGCAAGUUACUCUGUCAUCAUCGAGCUGGUGGAUGACCGUUUUGAGGGCUCUCCUCGCAGACCUCUCAGCUGGCGGUCCCUGGCUGCCUUGAGCAGAGUUUCAGUCAGUGUCUCCAAGGAAUUUAUGCUGUGCUAUUUGAUUAAACCCUCCGCCAUGACUGACAAAGAAAUGGAGUCACCAGAAUGUAUGAAACAAAUUAAAGUUCAGGAGGUGAUUCUAAGCCGUUGGGUUUCUUCACGGGAGAGGAGUGAUCAAGACGAGCUUUAACAACUCAGCCUCAGGGUUCUGAUUUCACCAGCAAAUGUUACUGAGUCUCCUGUAUAAGCCAAGUUUAGGGCGAGAUGAACCAAAAGUGUGAUCAUUGACAUAAUUAUUUCCUCUCGGAAGUAAAAAGCCUACUUUAUGCCCUGGUAGGUAAGACAGUGGAGGAGAAGGAGGUGACAGAAACAGUUCGAGGUAUUAGAGAAAGAAGACGGACUUUCAUCGUGUCCUUUCUGAAUUCUGCACCUAGAGUGGGCAGAGGAGGUGAUUCGCUGUGGUAACUCCAACACCCCAACUCCCCACCUCAGGCCUGGGAAGCAGGUUGAUUGAGGAAUUGCCAAUCCUGUUUGUGCGCGUAGACACAGAAAGGCUGACUCAGGAGGAGUGCAUAUGGUUCCCCGCUCAGAUUCUGAGACCUUUUUUCUUUUUUCUAUUUUUUUUUUAAUUAUUAUUGAUUGUCAAAAGGUUACCAUGUGCUUUUUAUGUAAAAACAAUGAGGUGAAGGCAGUCAUUACUUCAUAAACUGUAAGGGUCUCUUCCUACAAAUCCCCAAUUUCUGGAUUCACAUUGAAAGGUGAAUUUGUUCCCUAAUUAAUUUAUAGGAAGAGUUCUCAUUGCUCUGUGAAUAAAAGAUGCUGCCACUUUACGCUGUAACAUGGACCCCAAACUACUGUGAAAAGAAUUUUAGUUGUGGUGCCUACAAUUUUGAAAACCCAGGGCAAUUUUUAUUAAUUUUGUAAAUUCUUACACUGCAGUAAGCUGAAAUAUGCAUAAAGGGAAGCCAUAACUCUUUUUUAUUAACCACAGUUUAAGACACGUAGAGGCCCAGUAGCUGUUCCAGGCAGGAACCCCCAGACAUCCCUUCCUGUCUGCUCUCAGGCACGAUGUGCACUCAGCACAAGCCGCUUCCCGGACCUGGGCCUGUUUGGGGACCAGGGGGGUCGAUGACGUAGAAGCCGUGCUCUUCUAUCAUGCGGUAGAGCGUGAUGUACUUGGAAGCCUUCCUCGUCCUCGGGAUCACAAACUUCUCCGUGAACUCGUCCCGGUCCAGCCGCUCCUCGCCCUCUGUGGCCAGGACGCAGUUAAUGAACUUGAGGGCGUAGCUGUAGCAGUUGUGGUGGUCUUCUUCGUACCUUACGGAGCAAGGACAUAGAGAAGACAAGGCUUAGCCCUGAGCUGCCCACGGCCUUUCAUAAUUUUAAUCUCGCUGCAAGCUGGGCCCCCAUGUGUGCUGGCCCCCUUGAUGACAGUGUCCAGAGGUGUAGUUCUGAGGGACACUUGGCAUCUAGGGCUAUUUCUGCUUGCAGCUUAAGUACAGAUAGGACUCACCGAGAUGUCCAGAGUGGUGACUCAAGUUGCAUAUAAGCCCCAAUUUGGGGAACUUAAUUUCACUGUAAUUCUAGAUUCUAGAAGUGGAAUUCCAUGUCUGAGUUUUAUGAUAUCCUACAGUGUCUAAACUUAUUUCAAGGGAAGCAUGAGAACAAUUUAAGUCCACAAGUGUGCUAUGUAUCUUCUACAGUGAUAAGGGGGCAAGGAAUAGAUAAAUUAACUUCAAAAUUGCUGAAACUUAAAAAGGGGGGAAGUUUAGAUAGGUUUACGUUUUGAACCUCAUUUAAAAUUGUUUUGUUUUAAGGGAAUAUAACACUGUGGGUUUUGCUGUACAUAUUAUUAAAUGUCGAGUGUGUAAAAGAGUCAAAUAAGUAAAAUAACUAGAGUACUAAGUUCUGGUCCUUUCAGCUCUUAGAGUGCUGUGGUUCUAUUGGGGAAAUGUGUGCUAGCUCACCUCUGCAGAAACCCCAAGUAAUUCAGGCCCUGCUUAAUUCUGUUACAGACGCUACUAUCUCAGUACAGGCUCAACAUGAAAGUCAGUGCAGCGUAGCGUCCUCUGUGAGCUGUGAUCGCGCCUGGUGGUGAGUGAGGGCGCUGUCCUACCUGUGAGGCAGCCAGGCCCCCGUGGUGGAGAAGUCUUCCAGGUACUGGUCCCACUGGUCCAUCAGUCCGAACAUGCCGGGCUGCAGGAGCGGGACGCUCACACUCUGCUCCCAGCCCGCUUCGUCUCGCUGGACACCGUGCACCGUGUAAUUAUACACGACUCCUGCCGCCAACACCAAAAUCACACAGAGGCGUCAGGGGAAACGCACCCUGGUGAACGUGACAGCGCCCACCUGGUAACUGCACACAACAGGGGCCCAGAUGGCACUUCCCGAUUGCCAUCCGAGAGCUCUCGAACCCCCUCCUCCAAGGAGCCUCUGCCUCCUUGCUCUCAGCACCCGAGGUCGUCCCAGAGAAACGAGACAGUGAUAGGUGCUGCGGUGAUCAUCUCCAAAUAUGUUUGUUGAAGUUCUCUGUCUACAAGGGCGUCCGUCUCAUUUCCUUAAAUCAGCAGUACAUGUCUCCUGACAAAGACUGGCACAGAGUUGACUGCUCUGCCAGUCGCUGAGUUCCAAACCCUGUCCUAGGUUUCUGUUCACUGUGUCAGUUCUCCUGCCUCAAGGGAGCAGCAAGGGCUGUAAUCAGACUUCACCUGUGGGGCCUGAUCGCAGCCGCAAGUGGCUGGCCUCGCUCACCAUUCCCAGGCCUGCACCUUCCUGCUGGCGGCACUCCCCAGGCCUUUUCCUGCACACUGUGCCCUCCAAGCUAAAUCUGGCCAAAGGAACCAUUUUAUUUAAAUGUGCUGCUUUUCUGAUUUUUUAAAGCAGACUUUCGCAGGCCCUACUGCAUAUUCAGGUGCUGUGUCCCCCCAGUUUAUCCCUGGUUUCCUGCCUGGCCCCUGGAGAGCCCGGAGUAGGAGGACCCAGUGGCAGUGGGCUGAGUAUAGCAUUGGGAGCAGAGGGUCUGCUUCUAACACAAGAUGAGGUCUUGGACAGCUCAACCUCUCUGGACGUCUGUUUCUUCCUGUCUUAAAAACUAACAGAAAACAUACAGGUUUGCAAUGUUUUUAAUGUUUUCUCAGCUCUUGGCUGAGAAAACAUUAAAGAGCUUUCAGAUACUUAGUAUUGUUAGUAAUGUUGCCACAAUACUUUUUCUCUAGAGAUGCUGCUCUCUUCUAACCAGGUAUUGGGGGAACUUUUUAAGCUAUGAAAGUGCACUUACCUUUUGUGUUGGUUAUCCCCACGUGAAGAUCAGACCUUCCGUCAUACUCCCUAGAAGAAACAAGAGCGUUUUUGCCCUCUCAUUUGCACACAGCAGGCGUGUAGAAUUGGUAUUUAAAGUGGGAGGGGAACAGUGGGCCUCUCCUCUUGGUCGGCGCCAGAGGCCAGGUUAGUGGAAAGGCCAAGAGUACACGUGAGGUAGAAAACAGUGCCCUGCACCCCCUCUGGAUUUUCUUGGCCCCUGCAGUCCUAAAGGUGAGUGUGCUGGAAGGCCAGCCCCGCUGGAGCGUAAAGUCAGCUUGACACCUGGCUCUGCGGCAGAGGGGCCCACCCGGCUGUCAGCUGUUGAGGAAGCUUCUGAUUCUUUCCUCCUCAAGUGUGAGAGGGCAGCCUGUUCCUCAGGCCAGCGUGGGUGAGAGGGUCCUGAAAGCACCUCAGUGGGCUUCUACCUUUGAAACUAAUAUGGUCUUGAAGCCUGUGGCCACACUCACUUUUCCUGGACAGCCCUUCUUUCCUGAAAUUAUUCUUCCCCCGAGACUGUGCAUUAGAUGUAAACUCCAGGUAAUUUAACCUCUGUAUAUGAUCCCAGGGCAUCACUUACUCGCCCCGAGACUUUCUCACCUGUAAGAUGGAAAUAGCAUAAGCCUCCUAGCAAGCUGGUUGUAAGAAUAAAAUGCCUAUUGAGUGCUACCAUGUAGAGGUGUCAGAUAAGUCAGGUAAUCUUUAAAUGACGAAGCUCCUUUGUCGGACCACAGUUCUGAAUGUUUGGUUCCUCGUUAAAGCAAGCAGUCCCGGGGUUUACAAUGGCCAAGGACACAAAUGGCUGCCCCACCUCUUCAGAGCAAUCCCCCCAGGCCGUCUUGUUGCAGCCACUGUGAGUUUUCUGAGACCCUGUGGGUUCAGAGGUGGAGAAUGAAGCUGGGAAAAACAGUAAGUCUUGGGUGGCGGAUCACGGUGCUGGGCCUGGAUGUGUGCUAUCCCAAGAUCACUCCCUGCGUUUACGGCCUCUCUGUUUCCUGCCUAAAUCCCGGGCGUUCCCUCUCACGCCUGCUCUGCUCCCUCUCCUUCAGUUAUUUCUCAGUCGUGUAACAUGUCAACUACGGGCCUGUCAUUUGAAGUGAAGGGCUAGUGACACAACGGGAAAUGAGGUCCCUGCCUCACAGGGUUUGCUUGCUUCCAGAGAAGACUUUUUUAGUUUAACAAGUUUUUAAUAGAUUGAGAAGUGUUACAGAAGCAUGUGAUGGGGCAGGGCCAGGGCCACCCCUAUCCCAUAUGAUAGUUUUGUACAGAUUAAGAAAAGGUGCCCCUUCUUCCUGCAGAUGCAGCUCUGCCCAGGUGCUGCCCAGGGUGAGUGGAAUGCAGGCUGAAUUUCAGUACCCGCCACUGCCUUGGCCAGGUGCCUUUGUGCAGUCCACAAGCUGCACAACCCUAUGUGGCAGCCCUGAGGGAUCCUCAUCUAGUUAGAUCAGAGCCUCCGUGAUUCCUUUGAGUCACUGCUGGUUCUCUUAUGAAGUAGAUGAAAUCGUCUCAAGAUGAGUUGUGGGAGUUGGUCCUGAGGGUUUAGAAACAGGAUGAGAGGGAAAAAAAUAGUCUGGAACUUGGCCUUCGAGGGACUGGCAGGCAGGGGGCUACUUGGGUUCUGUGGAUCAUGGCCUGAGUUCCUGAGGGGAAUAGGAAGAUGCCUGAGCACACGAUGCAUUUCAGCACUACCACCUCCUUUCUGCUGCUGCCGAGGGAGGCCAGGCCUGCUCGUGUCACCACCACAUCACAGAAGAGAUGAAUGCUUUUCAGGGGCUAGCCUGAAAGCCUAUCGCGUUUUGUGGCAUUUCUGGAGAGCAGGGCUGCAGCUUGUUCACUAUGACAUCCCUAGCAUUUCCCACACAGAGCUGCUCAGUGAGGACCUGUUGAAUGAACCAGCGUUACAGGAAAUGAAUUCUGAAUUUUCACCUCUGUUCAAAAGCUUUCGGAAUCCAGCCAGUUACUAACUCCAAGUUAGCGUGCAUGAGGGGCCUUAUAAAACAGUUUGGGCUUCAUGAUUCUGGUUAAGGUAGAAAUGAAGGUUCUGCCAGUCACGUUCUGAGCUGAGUAUGAAAAUAUCGGGAAAGGAAGGAGCGUGUUGGUUCAUCGUCGUGCCUGGCACCCGGGCCAGCUUUAUAGGCCUUUUCGCUGACCCUCACAAGUCUGCAAGGUCAGCGGGUCCUCGUUUUACAGGUGAGGAACCAGAGACUCGGAGAGGGUCCUGGAGCUGGUCUGAAUCAGGGUAGGAAUGGGCGGCUUCUUGGCGUACAAGCUGCACGGUCCCUUCUGCAUCCCGCUGCCUCCCCGAGGAAGGGUCAGGAGUGCAGACUGUUCUGCCCCUAGUGUUUGACCUAUGCCUUGUACGCACGUCAGUUCGUUUCAUCCCCAUAGGGACUGGAAGGAAAUUGAUUAAGGAAGUUAGUGAGCAGGGAAGUAGUCAACUCCAAUUUUCUCAUCCCAAACCAGCACUAGAGGGCAUGAGGGACUCAGGAGGGUAUGUUUCAAGGAGGCAGGAAGGUCUGGGCAUCAGACCGUGAUGGAGUGCACGACACACUUCCCAAAGCUCGCACCAUUACUCAUCACUGUUCUCUUGAAACCUGGCUUGUGCAGGGCCAGUUCCAAUUCCACCUGUAAACUCAGGACUCUAAGAAGGCACCAUCCUUUCUUUUGAUUUCUGAAAUAUUUCUUAAAGUCAGGUGACAUCUACCAUUGAAACAGACCAGCUCUAGUCUCAAUUUCAUGCACCUCCAUGCAAAAUAGUCUGUACGUGGCCAUUCUUCAGGCUCUGUGCAGGGUACCUGCUUGUCACAAAUGUUACAAACUAACUCGAAGUAAAGGUAUUAUUUUGAUGAGAUUAGCUGCUGGGUCAUUUUCCCAGUUAGCCUCUUAGCACAAAAUCUAUGGGUAAAAAAAAUCUCCAGGCUAUCGAUUCCUCUCUCUUAAAAUUGUAUAAGCAGGUUUGACCUUCGUAUAUUCUUGCACUUAUCAUUCCAGGAAAGUAUGCACCCUUCUAUUCUUAUGAAACAAAAAGGCCUACAUUUUAGGAUUUAACACCAGAACGCUGAAAAGAUUAUCCACCAAAUCUCACACUGUAUAUAGCACGUUAGAAAAAGAAAGUUUAAGUGACUAAAACAGAGAAGGAAAACUUUGCACAAUCCAAUGCAGCACAUAAAACACUGUACCUAAGAAACGUCCCUUGAGUUGGUCUGAGGAGGAAGGAACACUCUUCUUGAUGCCCAUCGGUAAACGGAU